GUUGAGACAAUUAAUUUGUGCGUGGAGAAUGUACUCAGAGACAGAGAGAUGGAGGAGAAGGAGCUCAAAGCUCCAUUAAAGUUCAUUGACUGCUUAAGAGAAAAAUGAGAGAAUUGAGAACAACUUUUGAAAACAGAAAUAAGGCCCUUCAUUUUCUUGUUCUUCAAACUUCAUCAAAAAACCUAAGAACACGCCGAUUGGAGAAAAGCAAGAUAUUAUCACUGAAAUCCACUACUUGAGUCUCAUGGGUUACACAGCAGAUGGGCAGGGGCUGGGUGUUUGGAGACGGCGUGGGGGCUGUGUGCUUAGGGACGACGUUGGUGGGUUCAAAGCCAAUGUUGCUAGGUCGACGGAGCGACUGGAUAGAUCUAAGGACAACGACUGAUGGGAACGGAGGCUGUGUACUCAGGGACGAAAGGUAUGGGUUCAAAGUCGGUAGAUAUGAGGUUAGGAUCAACACUGAAGCUCCACUCUUCUUAGCCAACUUGCGGGAUGCAGAUCUGGUCUGAUCCGUCAACAAGAGAGCAAAGCGAAGGGAAAAGAUUUGACCAGCACCGUCGUCCUCGUGUGUCGCCCCCAACCGCCAUCUGCAAACUCCGGUGAGUUGAUGAUGUUUACUUUCGUGAAGCUCUAAUAAUUUUUCUGGGUAUAUUCUUUGGUUCUAUGUUUGUAUGUAUAUAAAUAUGUAUGUGUGUGUAUGCUUGUUAGACAUUUUUGAAAUUUUUUGGAUUGAUGGUUUUACAGGUUGUUGA